CACGUUGACAUUUGACUCGGAGAUUGCAGGUGUUGUCAGGUAAUGAACCGAAUAAUCACCUAACAUUUAAGAGUCUGAGUAGCAUGCAAAUGUAAAGGAAAUUAAAACCAAUUAAAUAACAAGAAUCAUGAAUAGCACAUUGACAGCAUUACACGGUUCACAGUUUGUUCAGUCAAAAUACAUCUGAAAUAUUCUCCACUGGACGUUAACAAUCCAGUUGAUUAACAGAUUGUAGGUACGGAAAGUGAUUUUUUUUUAAAUCAACUGAUCUACGAAAACUUUACCUCAUUUUAAAGGCAUUGUGAAGACAUUUUCAAAACAGUUUCACUUUUAUCAAUACACAUAAUAACAACGAAGAAAUAGCAAAUUUUCAAAAUGGUAAUUUUUUUACUAUUCUGGAAAAACUGUUUCCUCUCUUUAAAAAAUAAUAAAAUAUAUUUUUUUAAUCAUUUGGGUUAUAGUUUUGUUUAUAUUGCUUCUUUUACAUCUUGUUAGUCAAUUUCAAUCCUCCAUAUUAAGUUUUUUGGUCAAAAUAGAAGCAUAAAGCAUGAAAAUGUCAACCACUCUCAUGAAAUUCUAUCGUCCAAAGUCACAUAACAUGACUAUACCAUUAUAUAUUCCUUUUUUCAGAGCAUCAGUUGGUAUAUUGAAAAUGUAAAGUAAAACUUUAUAAACAUUUGAAUGUAAAGAAACAAAAUAUAAAUAUGAAUAUUACUCUUUAUAUACAAAUGUAUAUGUUUGUGUGUGUGUAAAAAAAAAGAUGUGGUAUGAUUGCCAAUGAGACAACUCUCCACAAGAGACCAAAUGACACAGAAAUUAACAACUAUAGGUCACCGUACGGCCUUCAACAAUGAGCAAAGCCCAUACCGCAUAGUCAGCUAUAAAAGGCCCAGAAAUGACAAAUGUAAAACAAUUCAAACGAGAAAACUAACGGCCUAUUAAUGUACAAAAAUUGAACGAAAAACAAAUAUUUAACACAUCAACAAACGACAACCACUGAAUUACAGGCUCCUGACUUUGGACAGGCACAUACAUACAGAAUGUGGCGGGGUUAAACAUGUUAGCGGGCGCCCAAUCCCCUGACCUGUGACAGUACAACAUAAGAAUGAACUAUAAAAAUCAGUUGUACCAUGAGAGACAAGAAAAGUUUUGAAAUAUGUCAUCUGUCUUUGUAUAGUCAUGAUAGUUUUAGAAUGUUCCCUUUUCAUUAACAUUCUAUUUAAUGAAAUAUUCUUAUUCUUAUAUAUAGCAUGUAUAGUGAAUGCUUAUAAAUAAAAAUAAACAACAAACUUCUAACAAUUAUUCUACAGGACUAAAAUACAUUGUACCUGUUGCACUGAAAAACAAUGAAAAUAAUAUAACAUUAUUUUUAUUCGAGAAAUUUCAAACAAAAUAAUUAUGUCAGAUCACUGUAAAUACUUGUAUGUAUAAAAGUAAAGUAAAUUCAUAUCUGUAUAUCAGUUACAAUAUUUAUACAGUGAAAUCUGUAAACCAAUCUCAUUCAGGACUGAAGUUCAAAAUGCAUUGAAUGUGAAUAGCAUUCGAAGUGAACUGCCGCUUCUGCAUGGAUUCCUAUGUAUGUUUUAGUUGAACAUGUUGAAAAUACAUAUAUUGAUUGUUGUUAAACCACAUUAUUCAGUAUCCUUACUAUCUCGUGUGCAAUGGCAAGUGGUUGAACUAUCUUUAAAUCGCAAUAAACUGGCUGUAUAAUGCAAAAAAAAACUAUCACCGCUGAUUUCCAAUCAAAACUAAACCAAAAGUUGUCCAUGCAAGGGAAAUAACUCUGUAUACACAAAAAGGAGGGUUAUUUAUAAAAUUAAUUUUGAUAUGAACACAGCUAUCUAGAUUUAUUUAUUAGACCUAAUUAUUUAAUUAAUAUAUUAAACUUAAUAAAAAAGUACAUUUUAUGGCUGUAUAACGUUCCCUUGUAUUUUUUUGAAACAAAUGUAACUUUCAAACCCUUGUUUGUACCUCAAAUAUUUCAUCGUAUUCCCGAAAAUUAUAAUAUACAGAAUCAUGAAUAUUCAUAUAAUAUCUAUCAAAAGCAAUCAGAACCUUCUGAGACUUAACAAGUUAAAAGAAGCCCGUAAUCGGAGGUCACCCAAAGAUUUUAUUUUUUUACACACAUCUGGGAACAAUUAUUUAGGGUAAUUUGGAGUUAUCUCCCAUUGGUUUGCCAUACCUAAGAUUAGUGUAAAUCUUAUCCCUUUUAAAAUCCUGUGUUGCAUCAAUUGUUUGCAACCAAAUCAGAAAAAUGCUGUUGACAGAGACAGAUCUAAGCCCUAGUCAAGAUUACUCUGACUCCAACGCCGUUUUGCCAGACAAGCUGGGGCCGUGGGACGUCAGAGCUCGUCACAUAUCAAAAGUGGAUAUUUGCCACACCCAAUAGAUGCGCUGCUUCGUCGCUUCUUAUGCCACUGACGGUUGGAAUUAUAUAAUCAGGCAUCAAUUGUUCAUUUUUCAUUUAUCUCUUCAUUUAUGUAAGUUUCACCUACCUGCCAACCUUUAUUUUUCUCAUCAUUAGACAGUUUUCACAGUGACCAUCGCUUUCGGCAUUUUCCUUUCAUUUUCAAAAGUUUAUCACAUGACACAAGAAAAAUGAUGAAUAUGCAAAUGACCAUAAUGUAACAUUGUUCAUUUUACGAUGCAAGUUAUCUAAAAUGUCGAGAGCUUCCGAUUGUAACGUGGUCGGAACUAAAUGCUUCAUACCGAUCUCUGUAAAAGGAGGUAAAAUCAUGGUUGCUAUAAAUGUUAACCAUCGAUCUCCUAUAAAAAGAGGUGAAAAAAUAUAAAUAUUAGCAUAUUUUGAGUCCGAGUCCACGAACUCUCUCGUAAUUUAAUGUUCCAUUUAUAGUGAAGUCAAAAUGCCGAAAUUGGGUCACUUGAAAACUGUCCAAUAAUGAGAAAAUAAAGGUUGGCAGGUAAUGAAACUUACAAAAUGAAGAGAUAAAUGAAAAAUGAACAGAUUAAUUGCCCGAUUUAUAUAUCCAAGGCUGUCAGGCGCAAGAAGCGACGAAGUCAGCGCAUAUUUGACGCAAAUAUAUCCAUUUUUGAUAUGGGACAGCUCUGACAUCCACGGCCCCAGCUUGCUGGCAAAAAGCGUUGACAUCAGAGUAAUCUCGGACUAAUCUAAGCCCUUGUCCAAAAAAUUUAGUCCAAAUAAUUAUGACGUCUUGAAAGAGGGUGGUAAAGGGUUAUUUUCGUGCAACGUGAUCCCGUUUUUUAUUUACGUUUCAACGUGUUUUUAAUUUUUAUUGACGUUCAGUCGUGCAAGACGGGUGUCGUUCAACGUGUUCUGCUUAUUUAAUUUUAUGUGCAUGUGUUUUCAAAGUCUUUUUUUGUAGUGCUCGGUAUUUUCAAAAAAAUUCAAACACGAGACAGGGGAUGUCAAGAAACCUUUUUUUAAAAGCGUAAACCAAUUAUAUCAUAAAUGUGUAUACUAAUCGUGAAUAUCAAGUAAAACAAAGAGUUAUAUAUAUACUAGAAGGCAGUGACUCAGUCACAAAAGGUUAAUUAAGUAUUUAUUUUCGUGCAACGUUCAUUACAGAAAUUAUUUCACGGUCAACAUGAAAUUAUGUCUUAUUUCACGUUUUCUUCGUGCAAGCACCCCCCUUUACCACCCUCUUGAAAGGCUAAGUAAGGCGUCAAAGAAAAAAAUUAUAAAAGCCUUUCAAGACGUCAUAAUUAUUAGGACUACAAAAAAUUAUGAGGUCUUGAAAGGAUAUUUUAAUUUUUUAUUUCUUUUACACCUUCGUUGAUGGUGUCAACGUCGCAGAAUAUUUUUUUUAAAAGCCUUGCAACAUGUUCGAGACAUCAUAAUUAGUUGAGAUGCCAUAGUUGCAUGAAAAUAGGUUCAACAUGUUCAAGACUAUAUUUUGACCUCUUUAAUUUAUGUUUUCGGUUUUACAGUUUCAUUGACAAUAUGUUAAAAUAUUGAAGUUAUUUCAGAUCUCCUUUAUUCACAAUCUUGUCCAUUAUACUUUUCUUUGUUAGCCAAAUAAAAAAGUAUGUGUGGUUCCAGUUACAUCGAAAAAAAGUUAGGGUAGGGUAGGUAGGGAUUUUUUUUUAUUUUAUGUUUUUUUUUUUACAUUGAGUCUAUGGGAGCAAAUUCUGACUUUAACAGUGCUUAAUGAAAAUGACAAAUCUUUAGGGUAGGCUAUUUUUAAGCCAAAAAGUAGGGAGGUAGGUUACUGGAACACACAUAUAUUUUUAUUUGGCUUAAUUUGUAUUAUUUAAUUAUAACUGAUGAAUUAUUUGGCCUGAGAACACAGUAAUGUAUUGCAUUUCUUCAGGAACAUAUAUAUUGAUGGGACUUGACACUACCUGAUUAUAGUCGAUUUUAUUGUCGUGCCAUUGUAAAUAAAGAUACGAUACAGAAACAGACAUGUGUUAAAAACGUACUCGCUAUUAUCCUCGUAAUAUCUGAUAUUAUCAAUAAAAUGUCAUUCAAACUAGUUUUAAAGUGAUGCUAGUGUAUCAAACUUGUAUUCUGUCACUUAAAAUUUGUUAAAAUCACAAGCAUUUCAUCACAGAAUUGUCCAGAAUGCAAACAAGGUAAUAAAAAAAAUGGCGGACAUUGUGCAAUGAUUUACAACAUACCAAUUCCCAACUUUUAUAAAACACUCCACAUCAAAUAAAUCAAACUUAUUUUAGUAAUUUUAUAUGACAAAAUAUAUCUACAAAUUGAUAAAAGUUGUAUUUAUUUACGAUUAGAGUUAUGUGGUUUAUUUGUUAAGUAGUUUUGAUAGUUUUUCAGUCAGACACUACCAAAAUCCGUAAUCUUGGAAAGUCUCAGGGAGUCCGAGAUUUUAUCAAUUUUAAACUGAAAAGCGUAUCAGAUUCAUUUCUUGUUUUAUAUACUGUUCCCAGAUUUCUUUAAGACAAUAAAUUCAAAUUAGAAAAAUCACACAUGCUCUAUCUCAAAAAGAUUUUUACAGUGUAGUGUACUACUAUUAGGACAAAUAAUGUCAAAAUUAUAGAAGAUUCUACCAGUUCUGACUCAAAAUAUUGAUAAUUCUGUGUUUAAAAUUCAGUUUGAAAGUUUCAGACAUAGUAUUUUUUUUCUUUUUUAACUUGACCAAAUCACAACUUAACAUAAAGAUUCAACACCCAAUCUAUUAUAACAUGUAAUUUCAUCCCCUUACUUAAUAUUUCAUGCAUUAAAUAUCAAGAAAUAAAUUGGGAAAGUGUAUAAAAAAAAUGCAAGUUAUACAUUGUUCACACUAGGGACUAUUAGUAAACAACAAAACCAAAGGACGAUAAAUGUGUCCUUGUACCAAAUUGUACUAUAUUGUACCAUUAUAAAGAUACCAGAAAGCAUGUAAAGUAUGAAUAAUCAGUUACAACUUUAAGCAAUGUUAAACCAGAUCAAAAGGAUAAUUUAAGCAAUGUUAAACCAGAUCAAAAGGACAACAAAGCUUUGUUUUAAUUAAUUGACCAUGGAGAGAUCAGUGAUAAAGAUAAAACUAUAAUACCUUUGACUUUAUAAAUCUAAGCAAAAAUUUGUUAAAGUUCUGUUUUAAGUGAAAUUUAUGUAUUGUCCUGUAAAUAGACUAUUUUUAAGAGAGAGUCCUGUAAAAAGACUAUUUUUAAGGGUAAGAGACUAUUUUUCAUUUUGAAAAUGUUAUAUCUUUUUUCAAGGUUCAUAUCAUGACCAUAAUUUAAUAUUCAAUGCAAUGAAGUUGAAUACCGCCACUUUCAGUACUGUUCAAUGGCUAUCUGGUGGCAGUCAGUUUUAUAUAUUGGGGAAGCUGGAGUGCAUAUAUAUACUGUGGAUUCAUUUAUUUUCGUGGGUAUCAAUUUUUCAUGGAUUGCUGAAAACUUGCAUUUUCGUGUAUAUUUGAUUUCCUGGUUUUGGCAAUCUCUGUAUACAAAGCCUAUUGAAAAUAUGAUAUUCGUUGAACAUUUGAAUUUGUGGUUCACCUGUAUCCACAAACCACGAAAAUUGGUAUCCAACGAAUAAUAAUGGAUCCACAGUAGUUAAAAGCAGAGUUUGUUCAUUUAUUGGUAAUAAACCUUCAUUAAAAAAAAUUACGAAAGCAUUUUUUUUUUAAAUCAGAUAAUCAUAUUAAAAAUAAUCUUAAAUCAUAACUAACUACAGAGUUAUGUAUCAUUUGUAUACUUAGUCAAACUAAUCUAGGAUUAUCUCAGGUCAUUAAUACCAUUAAUCCUCUUAACUUUUAAUGUGUAUUUAUAAAAAAAAUAUUGCCCCUUCCAGGUGUUUAAAAGGUGUCAACGUGAAGUAUGAUUUUUGAAGACAAGUGACAAUCUCUGUAAUGAUAAACAAAUAUUAUUUGACCAUUCAAUAUGAUGUAACAUACAUCCAUCAAGACCAGAGAUUUACUUGACCCCAGUUUUACUUGACCAGUUAUUAAUCAUUUCCCAAUUUUGUACUUGUAGUGAUUAUUGCAAAACAACCUGGACUUGAAGUGAUGAUUUAAAAACACAAAAGUUUGUGAUUUUUUUGGAUAAAUUGGAUUACAUAUUUGAUCUGAAUUUGUUAAAUUCUUGUCUAUGGAGCUUUUUACAAGUACAUGUACAUGUAAGUAUUAGCUAAGGUUAUUUAUUUAUUGUGUCAUGUUUGUGGUCGAAAGGGAUGGGUACAUCUUUAAUCAACAUUAUGUGGUUAAACUAGGAGAUAAUUGAACAAAGGUGUCUCUUUUCAAGCUACACUUCAACCAUGUUAAAUAUAAUUGUGAGUAAAAAGAUGCAUGGAUUAUAUAUCAAUUAUAUUGAAAGACACAGCAACCCAACAACAUUUGAAAUAUAAACAUUGCUCUAGGAGAUAUGCCUGUUCAGUAAAAUGUACUUGUACUAAGAUGGAUUUUGUUUAAGAGUUGAUAGGGUUAUUUUAGUAUUUUGCAAGUUUUGGUUAUUUUAGUAUUUUGCAAGUUUUUGGUGCUGUAUUUAGCAUAAUUAAGACAUCGACAAUAUCACUUUUUAUGUGAGUCUAUGUAAAAACGUACAAUUGAUGUUUGAAAUUUUUUCGUAUUUGUGCAGUUACAAAAUCUGGAUAUGAUAAUGUUUCAAAAUCUUUUUAGUAAUUAAAAAAAUACCAAAAAUUCAAAGACACACAAACAUUCAUAAUUAACCACAGGCACUUGUCUCAGAAAAUAAUGUCCUACAUGUACAUGUAUACUUUAUUAUAACCAUGAUAACAGUUAUAUUAUGGAAUAUAUAGGAAAAAAAAUUCUGAGACAAGUGCCUGUGUAAAUAACCCAAAAAAUGUGACAAUGAAUUAACUGUGAAUUCUAAACAAGUUUCAUUAUGCUUGGUAGGCAAUUUAAGUAUUGAUAAACGAAGUUACAAAGAAAUUAUUGUAAUUUAGAAGUCGUGUUCAAUAAUAAUUAUACCUUAUUAUUCAUAUUUACAUGAUUAUUCUUGCCAAUGUAGCUGAAAUAAAUGAUGCUUGAAAGGCAUUGUUUAUUACAAUUUACAAAUUUAUUUAAAUGACUCUUUGUCUCAUUAAUUCUGUAAACAAGAUCCCAAAGACAAUAUAUAUAAUUACAAAAGUCGACAUACAAUAACAUAUGUAAUACUAGCAAACCAAGCAUAUUUUUGAGAUGAAUAUAUGGCUGAUUAACAUUUUUGAUCAGUACAAACAAACUUGAACUCUAAAUAUGAUUUUAAAUUGAGACUAUUAAUUACGUUACUUUAUUGUAUAUAUAUAUAUAUAUAUAUAUAUAUAUAUCUUGAAGAAAGGUUCAUUUCACAUACAUUUAACAUUAUCAAGUGCAUAUUUUUGAAAUUCCUAAAUGAUGAAUUUGCUAGACAUUUAUAUUUAGAUACAGUUCAGAAAUCAAAAAGAAAGUAGAUAGGGGAAAUUUAAAUGAAACUACAAAUGACAAAUUAAAAGUUUUUUUACCUGAAGGUAUAUUUCAGGUAAGUCGUGUCAAGGGAAUUACCUGAAGUUAUUUAAGGUAGCGUUCAUUUCGAGAGGUUGUAAUUUAAACUAGGUGCGUGUGACUCGAGAUCUGUGAACUAGCCAAGCAUUUAUUAUUUACUGUUUAGUAUGCAUGAUCACAUGCGAUUACAUUUAUGAUAUUUAUGUAUAAUUGUCUGGAAGGAUUUGACAAAUUAAUUAUUUGGGAUUAUCUCCCUUGUUGUUGUUUAUUUUAGAAAAUAGAUUACAUGUAUGUGUGCAAUUAAGGAUUAUAUAUGGAGCUGAAAUAUUGAAAUGAAACAGAUGAAAAUGGAAUAUUUGUGAUCUUCAAUAGGAUUAACUUUCUAGUGAAGUCG
rnacentral:lncRNA from 1 species